rnacentral:rRNA from 1 species
GACGAACGCUGGCGGCGUGCUUAACACGUGCAAGUCGAACGGAAAGGCCCUGCUUGCAGGGUACUCGAGUGGCGAACGGGUGAGUAACACGUGGGUGAUCUGCCCUGCACUUCGGGAUAAGCCUGGGAAACUGGGUCUAAUACCGGAUAGGAGCCAUUUUUAGUGUGAUGGUUGGAAAGUUUUUUCGGUGUAGGAUGAGCUCGCGGCCUAUCAGCUUGUUGGUGGGGUAAUGGCCUACCAAGGCGGCGACGGGUAGCCGGCCUGAGAGGGUGGACGGCCACAUUGGGACUGAGCUACGGCCCAGACUCCUACGGGAGGCAGCAGUGGGGAAUAUUGCACAAUGGGCGCAAGCCUGAUGCAGCGACGCCGCGUGGGGGAUGACGGCCUUCGGGUUGUAAACUCCUUUCGCUAGGGACGAAGCUUUUUGUGACGGUACCUAGAUAAGAAGCACCGGCUAACUACGU